rnacentral:rRNA from 1 species
CCUGCGUGCGCUUUACGCCCAGUAAAUCCGGAUAACGCUUGCCACCUACGUAUUACCGCGGCUGCUGGCACGUAGUUAGCCGUGGCUUCCUCCUUGGGUACCGUCAUUAUCUUCCCCAAAGACAGAGCUUUACGAUCCGAAAACCUUCAUCACUCACGCGGCGUUGCUGCAUCAGGGUUUCCCCCAUUGUGCAAUAUUCCCCACUGCUGCCUCCCGUAGGAGUCUGGGCCGUGUCUCAGUCCCAAUGUGGCCGAUCACCUCUCAGGUCGGCUACSAUCGUCGCCUUGGUAGGCCGUUACCCCACCAACUAGCUAAUGCGCCGCGGGUCCAUCUUAUAGCGGAUUGCUCCUUUGGUUGAAUGAUGAUGCCAUCUUUCAACAUUAUGCGGUAUUAAUCUUCCUUUCGAAAGGNUAUUCCACUCUAUGAGGCAGGUUACCCACGUGUUACUCACCCGUCCGCCGCUAAUCCGUUUCCCGAAGGAAACUUCAUCGCUCGACUUGCAUGUGUUAAGCACGCCGCCAGCGUUCAUCCUGAGCCAGGAUCAAACUCUCCA